CCCAGACUCCUACGGGAGGCAGCAGUGGGGGAUAUUGCACAAUGGGGGAAACCCUGAUGCAGCGACGCCGCGUGAGUGAAGAAGUAUUUCGGUAUGUAAAGCUCUAUCAGCAGGGAAGAAAAUGACAGUACCUGACCAAGAAGCCCCGGCUAACUACGUGCCAGCAGCCGCGGUAAUACGUAGGGGGCAAGCGUUAUCCGGAUUUACUGGGUGUAAAGGGAGCGUAGACGGCAGCGCAAGUCUGAAGUGAAAUGCCGGGGCUUAACCCCGGAACUGCUUUGGAAACUGUGCAGCUAGAGUGCAGGAGAGGUAAGUGGAAUUCCUAGUGUAGCGGUGAAAUGCGUAGAUAUUAGGAGGAACACCAGUGGCGAAGGCGGCUUACUGGACUGUAACUGACGUUGAGGCUCGAAAGCGUGGGGAGCAAACAGGAUUAGAUACCCCGGUA
rnacentral:rRNA from 1 species